UUUCCGUAGGUGAACCUGCGGAAGGAUCAUUAACAAAUCUAAACAAAUACUUGUCGAAUUGUCUCUCGUUGCUGUCUUUCUGAAGCAUUUCCUGCUCUCCUCAUCCCUCACAGUUGGGGGGGGGCAAACAAAACGCGGAUGUAAGACGGCAACGCAAUAUACUUUAAACUCUCUUUGAUUCAAUAUUAAACUAAAAUUUUGGAAACAAAAAUUCAAAUUACAAAUAACUUUUAACAAUGGAUCUCUUGGCUCCC
rnacentral:misc_RNA from 1 species